rnacentral:pre_miRNA from 1 species
AAUUAACCAAUUUUUCAUUUUUUACCUAUAAUUUUUGACUACUCGUCUUAUUCAAAUUUUUCUGUAUUAGAUGAUAAAUCAUGAAUAAUACUUUAUGUGUGACUAAUUUUUUUCUAAUUUUCUAAAAUUUUUUCAAAUAAGACAGAUGGUCAAACGUUGGACACGAAAACCGGAGAAUUGAUU